GAUGAACGCUGGCGGCGUGCCUAAUACAUGCAAGUCGAGCGAACAGAUGAGGAGCUUGCUCCUCUGACGUUAGCGGCGGACGGGUGAGUAACACGUGGAUAACCUACCUAUAAGACUGGGAUAACUUCGGGAAACCGGAGCUAAUACCGGAUAAUAUAUUGAACCGCAUGGUUCAAUAGUGAAAGACGGUUUUGCUGUCACUUAUAGAUGGAUCCGCGCCGCAUUAGCUAGUUGGUAAGGUAACGGCUUACCAAGGCAACGAUGCGUAGCCGACCUGAGAGAGUGAUCGGCCACACUGGAACUGAGACACGGUCCAGACUCCUACGGGAGGCAGCAGUAGGGAAUCUUCCGCAAUGGGCGAAAGCCUGACGGAGCAACGCCGCGUGAGUGAUGAAGGUCUUCGGAUCGUAAAACUCUGUUAUGAGGGAAGAACAAAUGUGUAAGUAAAUAUGCACGUCUUGACGGUACCUAAUCAGAAAGCCACGGCUAACUACGUG
rnacentral:rRNA from 1 species